rnacentral:rRNA from 1 species
CACGUAGGCGGCUUGGUAUGUCGGGUGUGAAAUCCCCGGGCUCAACCUGGGAACUGCAUCCGAAACUGCCUUGCUCGAGUAUGGGAGAGGGAAGCGGAAUUUCCGGUGUAGCGGUGAAAUGCGUAGAUAUCGGAAGGAACAUCAGUGGCGAAGGCGGCUUCCUGGACCAAUACUGACGCUCAGGUGCGAAAGCGUGGGGAGCAAACAGGAUUAGAUACCCUGGUAGUCC